AUGAACGCUAGCGACAGGCUUAACACAUGCAAGUCGAGGGGUAACAGGGGUAGCAAUACCGCUGACGACCGGCGCACGGGUGAGUAACGCGUAUGCAACCUGCCUAUAACUGGGGAAUAGCUCCCUGAAAGGGGGAAUUAACACCGCAUAAUACUAUUGAUUCGCAUGGAUUGGUAGUUAAAUGUAGCGAUACAGGUUAUAGAUGGGCAUGCGUGACAUUAGCUAGUUGGUGAGGUAACGGCUCACCAAGGCUACGAUGUCUAGGGGUUCUGAGAGGAAGGUCCCCCCACACUGGUACUGAGGCACGGACCAGACUCCUACGGGAGGCAGCAGUGAGGAAUAUUGGUCAAUGGGCGCAAGCCUGAACCAGCCAUGUCGCGUGCAGGAAGAACCUCGCCCUAGUGGGUUAGUAAACUGUCUUUUAUAGUAGAAGAAACACAUCUACGUGUAGAUGUCUGCCAGUAUACUAUGAAUAAGCAUCGGCUAACUCCGUGCCAGCCGCGGC
rnacentral:rRNA from 1 species